rnacentral:rRNA from 1 species
UUCCCCCUGUGAGAGUAGGACGCCGCCAAGC